rnacentral:rRNA from 1 species
GAUGAACGCUGGCGGCGUGCCUAAUACAUGCAAGUCGAGCGAACAGAUAAGGAGCUUGCUCCUUUGACGUUAGCGGCGGACGGGUGAGUAACACGUGGGUAACCUACCUAUAAGACUGGGAUAACUUCGGGAAACCGGAGCUAAUACCGGAUAACAUUUGGAACCGCAUGGUUCUAAAGUGAAAGAUGGUUUUGCUAUCACUUAUAGAUGGACCCGCGCCGUAUUAGCUAGUUGGUAAGGUAACGGCUUACCAAGGCAACGAUACGUAGCCGACCUGAGAGGGUGAUCGGCCACACUGGAACUGAGACACGGUCCAGACUCCUACGGGAGGCAGCAGUAGGGAAUAUUCCGCAAUGGGCGAAAGCCUGACGGAGCAACGCCGCGUGAGUGAUGAAGGGUUUCGGCUCGUAAAACUCUGUUAUUAGGGAAGAACAAAUGUGUAAGUAACUGUGCACGUCUUGACGGUACCUAAACAGAAAGCCACGGCUAACUACGUG